rnacentral:rRNA from 1 species
GACGAACGCUGGCGGCGUGCUUAACACAUGCAAGUCGAACGGAAAGGCCCUGCUUUUGUGGGGUGCUCGAGUGGCGAACGGGUGAGUAACACGUGAGUAACCUGCCCUUGACUUUGGGAUAACUUCAGGAAACUGGGGCUAAUACCGGAUAGGAGCUCCUGCUGCAUGGUGGGGGUUGGAAAGUUUCGGCGGUUGGGGAUGGACUCGCGGCUUAUCAGCUUGUUGGUGGGGUAGUGGCUUACCAAGGCAUUGACGGGUAGCCGGCCUGAGAGGGUGACCGGCCACAUUGGGACUGAGAUACGGCCCAGACUCCUACGGGAGGCAGCAGGGGGGAAUAUGGCACAAUGGGCGGAAGCCUGAUGCAGCAACGCCGCGUGCGGGAUGACGGCCUUCGGGUUGUAAACCGCUUUCGCCUGUGACGAAGCGUGAGUGACGGUAAUGGGUAAAGAAGCACCGGCUAACUACGUG